CCCCCCCCCAUCUUCCCACGUGGUUUAUGGACAGCCCUCAAGAGCCCAGCUUCCAUAUGCAUCCAGAUGCAACCAUAGCAUCCGGACUAGAUGAAUGUCCAAUCGUCCAUAGCAUCCAGGUGUCCCACAAGUCACGCGAAGAUAAGAUAAGCGUCCUAAUGGAUCCAGACGUACCCCUCGCAUAUACGCCCACAACACUACACCAUCCACCUGGUGUCCACUGUCCAAGACAUCCAGAGGGCACAGCGUCCAAAGGGCACAAAGUUCUCCCAGACGCGUACUUUAGCAGUCCGAUGGUGGCCCGGAAAAUUAGGACUUUCUUAUUUUUGCCUAUUUUAACUCUGAAAUACAAAUGAAUUGUUCCUAAAAUGUUGCUUUUUAAUAACCUUUAAAUUUGAACACUUGUACACAACACUUCCACAAAUAUCUUGGAGAUGUUGUCACUUCUGGAUUUAUUCUCCGAUGGUUGAUUGAUUGCCCUUACGCCCUGCCACUCACCUGCAACAUAAAUAUGUAGUUCUUUAACAAAAUCAUGUAUUUUGGUAGAAACAGUUAUUAGACUCAAAUAAUAUAAUCUGCAUGCCUUCAUACCUAUCAAGGGUAUCAAAAUGGUUAUUUGUUGAUAAAUUCAUGAUUUCUCUGGACACCUCGUAUUCGCUUUAACUUGACCCUCAGCUGCGACGACAACCAGAGACGCAUCUGGAACAAAAAUGUUAACCACAAUAUUCUGGCUCCUGUUCCCAAUCCAAGUCACAGUAAUUAACGGUAGCACUCUUCUGAUAAAGCGUAUUGUAAGCUUUUUAGGUUAUUGACACAUCUGCUUUUACUAUUUCUAAUUUCUUUAUCACUAUAAAACAGGAUAGCGAAAUAGCGAAAAGCUUACGACAACUAAAAACUUGAGAUUAAAUACGCUGCGGUCAUAUCGGCUAGAGGUAUUGGCGGUCAAUGUACGUCUCAAGCCCACUGAUUCGUUUUGACAGUUUAGGCCCUAAACUCUUAACCGCCAUGCUCCGACGUCGAGACAGUCACACUAUUUUUAUUUAAUUAUUAAGGCCCCCUCAUGAGCAAGAGCAUAUUGUGACGUCACGUCGUCAUGCACGCGGUACCGACGGCAGAAGUACCGCGAACCGACGGGAGGUACACGAUAAUGACAACAGGCUUCUGCAAGUAAACAACUUGUCACAAGUAGGGUAAGGUGCCCUAAUGUGACCACUGUCCAUUGAUGGCCACUUUUCUCGAUUUCCAGCCAAUCUGUUCGCUUUACAAUCUUGGCCUUGAAGUUGGGUUCUAGUAAGGUCCCUACUUGGGCAUAAUAAGCCAAACUACUUCACAUCGUUGUCUACAUUACAAGAAAAAGGAGUGGCAAUCAUUGGGCAGGCCCAUUCUUAAGGUGGCCAUCAUAGGGCAUCUUACCCUCAUCGACUGCACUCAAGUAUAUCAGGUUUCAGACACAAGACAUGUACAAAAUGACAAUUUUGAGAGUCAGGCGGCCUUUUCUUGGCUACGGUAUUCUUUUUAAAGUAGAGGUAAGGCGCCACAGUUUCGUAGUAUCAAACAAUCAUGUGUGAUAAAUCUUUUUGUCUGCUUGAGAAGUCAAAACAUCUCCAAGUGUACCUAACCUAACUUCAUGGUGUCUCCUAGGCCCAUAGCUGGGUCAGUAUCAGUGGAUAACUUUCGUGGACAUCUCUCACAUCAUAGCAGUAGAUCCAUGUUUAUCGAAUGACUUUUACUAAAUGAUACAACCGAACGUCAGGGUGAUGUGCUGUAAGUAAACCGUGAGAAGUUCCCAAAUAAGCUCAGACUGAGUAACUAUGGUUUGAAGAUGAAAUAAUAAAAAUGUGUCUAAAAAGUUUUCUCUGCACUUGGUUCAGUUGCACUCAAGCUUUUAUUUUAUGCCGUGAAACUUUUGUAGCUAGCAUUUCGUAUUUGAGAAUGUUGCAAACGAUGGGUGUUCAAGUCACAAGUUACAAUUUUUUUUUCAAAUUCCUUUAUUUUCUAUAUGUACAAAAGUUUGCCGUCUAUAAUAAUGACUCUGAUACUUUUCAGGAGGAAAUUCAUUUUGUGGAUAAUUGACUUGAAGGGCCAACCAAGCAAGCGAAUUAUUGUGAUAUGCUCGCAGCAAAGUAGAUGUAGGAUGUAGAAGGCUAUGUAGUGGAGGUAUUUCCUCCCGUGCAAGAAAUGGAUGCAACUCAGUAAACAUAGUCACCAUUUUUUUAAACAUUUUUCCUUUACUACAAAGUAAGUUUUGAACUGUAUUUAUAAGAAAAGUAACAGAGGCGACCGAUCUUCAGUUUUGAAUGUAGAUGACACAAGUUAAAAAAAAAAAUUGUAGCCAGGAGAUCGAGUAACGUUAGACCACCGAGGAUGCUUUCCUUUGAUUUCUAAAAGGAGUUGAAGUCAAGAACAAAGUUCGCUUGUUUUUAUUUAAAAAUGAAGAAAAACGACAUUAGUACAUGGCCAAGUCGAUUUCGAUCGGAAAAAAAUUGCGGCUGGACUAAAAUAAGUUGAUCUUGUAGAUCUCGCCGCGGAAAACAACAAAAUCCCGAGGUUUUCCAUCGAGCCGGUUUUGAACAAAUGCCGUUUAAAGUUCGGAAUAUUGAACAAAAUUCAAAGUUAAUUCUCUCGAAAAUAUAUUAUCAGGGAAAUUCGAGGUUUCCACCAUCGAACGUGCGCUGAUGUCCUCUUUUAGGAUAUGUAAGGUUUGCUAAGGUUUUGUUUCGAAAAACACAAGUUAGAGGCGUAAAACCAUCAUUCUUCCCAUUUUGGGGAUUUCUUUCUUUGGUAGUGAGUGAGGUAAGGGC